GCGAAAGCUGGCGGCAGGCUUAACACAUGCAAGUCGAGCGGGCAUAGCAAUAUGUCAGCGGCAGACGGGUGAGUAACGCGUGGGAACGUACCUUUUGGUUCGGAACAACACAGGGAAACUUGUGCUAAUACCGGAUAAGCCCUUACGGGGAAAGAUUUAUCGCCGAAAGAUCGGCCCGCGUCUGAUUAUCUAGUUGGUGGGGUAAAGGCCCACCAAGGCGACGAUCAGUAGCUGGUCUGAGAGGAUGAUCAGCCACAUUGGGACUGAGACACUGCCCAAACUCCUACGGGAGGCAGCAGUGGGGAAUAUUGGACAAUGGGGGCAACCCUGAUCCAGCCGUGCCGCGUGAGUGAUGAAGGCCCUAGGGUUGUAAAGCUCUUUUGUGCGGGAAGAUAAUGACGGUACCGCAAGAAUAAGCCCCGGCUAACUUCGUGCCAGCAGCCGCAGUAA
rnacentral:rRNA from 1 species